rnacentral:rRNA from 1 species
GAUGAACGCUGGCGGCGUGCCUAAUACAUGCAAGUCGAGCGAACAGACGAGGAGCUUGCUCCUCUGACGUUAGCGGCGGACGGGUGAGUAACACGUGGAUAACCUACCUAUAAGACUGGGAUAACUUCGGGAAACCGGCGCUAAUACCGGAUAAUAUAUUGAACCGCAUGGUUCAAUAGUGAAAGACGGUUUUGCUGUCACUUAUAGAUGGAUCCGCGCCGCAUUAGCUAGUUGGUAAGGUAACGGCUUACCAAGGCAACGAUGCGUAGCCGACCUGAGAGGGUGAUCGGCCACACUGGAACUGAGACACGGUACAGACUCCUACGUGAGGCAGCAGUAGGGAAUCUUCCGCAAUGGGCGAAAGCCUGACGGAGCAACGCCGCGUGAGUGAUUAAGUUCUUCGGUGCGUAAAACUCUGUUAGUAGGGAAGAACAAAUGUGUAAGUAACUAUGCACGUCUUGACGGUACCUAAUCAGAAAGCCACGGCUAACUACGUG